GCGAGUAUUGGCCCCUCACGGGUCCUAAUCCCACCAUUACAACCACCCUUGUGAACCAGUCAGGGGGACUCGGGCCGUGAAAGCCCAGGCGAUUAGCGGGAAGGGCCCUCCUUUGCAAACCCGUUUAGAAGGUCUUGAAAGUACUUUUGUAUAAUCUAGUA
rnacentral:misc_RNA from 1 species